rnacentral:rRNA from 1 species
AUUGAACGCUGGCGGCAUGCCUUACACAUGCAAGUCGAACGGUAACGCGGGGCAACCUGGCGACGAGUGGCGAACGGGUGAGUAAUAUAUCGGAACGUGCCCAGUAGUGGGGGAUAGCCCGGCGAAAGCCGGAUUAAUACCGCAUGAGACCUGAGGGUGAAAGCGGGGGAGCGCAAGACCUCGCGCUAUUGGAGCGGCCGAUAUCAGAUUAGCUAGUUGGUGGGGUAAAGGCCUACCAAGGCAACGAUCUGUAGUUGGUCUGAGAGGACGACCAGCCACACUGGGACUGAGACACGGCCCAGACUCCUACGGGAGGCAGCAGUGGGGAAUUUUGGACAAUGGGCGCAAGCCUGAUCCAGCAAUGCCGCGUGCAGGAAGAAGGCCUUCGGGUUGUAAACUGCUUUUGUCAGGGAAGAAAUCUUCUGGGUUAAUACCUCGGGAGGAUGACGGUACCUGAAGAAUAAGCACCGGCUAACUACGUGCCAGCCGCCGCAGUAAUAC